AUGCAUCGCGUUAUUGAAAUCGCCAUUACCUCAAUUAUAGAUAGUCUGGAGUUGGUAAGUACUCUGAUCUUGCUGGCUAGCCUCUUAACCUCCACACUGUCUUCUUCCUCGAGGCUUCGGGGACGCCAGCUGGAGCGCUUCUUUAAAGGAGCACUAGAGAAUUCGGGAAGACCGCGCCGGAUUGUGUCCAUUCCAAGGGCCAUUCUUCGAAGUGCCGGACAGGUACCCUGUCCCGGCUAUGCGCCACACUUCGGCGCCGCCCACCUCGAAAAUAGAUCCCUUUUGGGAGCGGGGGACGAGGCAGAAGAAUUUCCGCCAUAG
rnacentral:rRNA from 1 species